rnacentral:rRNA from 1 species
AAACCAGCACCUCAAGUGGUCAGGAGGAUUAUUGGGCCUAAAGCAUCCGUAGCCUGUUCUGUAAGUUUCCGGUUAAAUCCAUUAGCUCAACUAAUGGGCUGCCGAAAAUACUGCAGAACUAGGGAGUGUGAGAGGUAGACGGUACUCGGGAGGAAGGGGUAAAAUCCUUUGAUCUCUCGAUGACCACCUGUGGCGAAGGCGGUCUACCAGAACACGUCCGACGGUGAGGGAUGAAAGCUGGGGGAGCAAACCGAAUUAGAAACCCUAGUAGUCC